UAAGGAUGUUAUGAACAUAGCAGAGCACCUAUCUUUGUUAUAUGUUGGGGCCACUUUUGGGUAUAUGCCCAAGAGUGGUAUAGCUAUGUCCUCAGGUAGUUCAAUGUCCAAUUUUGUGAGGAACCUCCAGACUGAUUUCCAGAAUGGUUGUACCAGUCUGCAAUCCCACCAACAAUGGUGGAGCAUUCUUCUUUCUCCACAUCCUCGUCAGCAUUUGCUGUCACCUGAGUUUUGGAUCUUAGCCAUCCUCACUGGUUUGAGGUGAAAUCUCAGGGUUGUUUUGAUUUGCAUUUCCCUUAUGACUAAAGAUGUUGAACAUUUCUUUAGGUGUUUCUCAGCCAUUCAGCAUUCCUCAGCUGUGAAUUCUUUGUUUAGCUCUGAAUCCCAUUUUUUAGUAGGGUUAUGUGUCUUCCUGCAGUCUAACUUCUUGAGUUCUUUGUAUAUUUUGGAUAUUAGCUCUCUAUCUGUUGCAGGAUUGGUAAAGAUCUUUUCCCAAUCCGUUGGUUCCCGUUUGUCCUAACUAUUGUCCUUUGCCUUACAGAAUCUUUGCAGUUUUAUGAGAACCCAUUUGUCUAUUCUUGAACUUAGAGCAUAAGCCACUGGGGUUUUCUUCAGGAAAUUUU
rnacentral:lncRNA from 1 species